UACAGAGGUCCCAAGCGUUAUUCGGAUUCACUGGGCGUAAAGGGUGCGCAGGUGGUCGGGUAAGUCUGAUGUGAAAUCCCGCAGCUUAACUGCGGAAUGGCAUUGGAUACUAUUUGGCUAGAGGGUUGGAGGGGGGACUGGAAUUCUCGGUGUAGCAGUGAAAUGCGUAGAUAUCGAGAGGAACACCAGUGGCGAAGGCGAGUCCCUGGACAACUCCUGACGCUGAGGCACGAAAGCUAGGGGAGCAAACAGG
rnacentral:rRNA from 1 species